UAUGUGAGGUAUAUAGAAUAGUCAAAUUCAGAGUCAGAAAGUACAUCGGUAGUUGCCAGAGGCCCUGGGGCCAGGGCGGGGGGCGGGGGCUGGUAGGGAGGGGUGAUGGCUUGUGAGUAUUUAGUGCGGACAGAGUUUCUGUUCAGGAAGGUGAAAGAUUUGGGGGAUGGAUGAUGGUGAGAACUGCACAAAGAUGUGAACGUCCUUAGUGCCACUGAACUGUACUGUUAGAUAUGGUUAAAGAGUAUGUUUUAUAUUAUGUGACUUUUACCACAAUAAAAAGUUUUUUUAAAAUGAACAAACAUUUCUUCUUGUCUUGAAAGUAGAGCUCUGCCAUGUUUUGACAGCAGCUUUUGCAGUUCUGUCAGCAAAAUGAAUUGCUGAUAUGUGAGCUGGCAGUCGCAAGGUGCUUAACAGAUCAGCUUUCAAUUUGACACGAGAUUUCUUUCAUUCUCAUUGAAGUCAAAAGUCCUCUAUUUUUUAAAAAUUUUGCAUGACAGACAGCAAACACAUAUUUACUACAAAUACAUAUUUUUCAUUGUAAGUCCAGAACCAAAAAUUGCAGCUCUAGUAACCAUUAACUCAGCAGCUUGUACCAAUUUAAUUUUAGAUGGAACAUAAGCCUCCAAGAUUUCAUGAGAAGUAAUGACAGCAUAGGAAACCUUAAAGUUGGCCAUUCUUACUCUGGGUACACGACCCAUCAGCAAACAUGAUCAAAUCUGCUUUUUGAUCUGAGACAUCUGAUAAGUCACAUCGAGGCCUAGUAUCUUCUUUUAUUACUAUUGUAUAAUCACAAUCAUCUACUUGAUCAGGAUCUUAGAAGAGGGUAGCAGUUUAGGAGACUGUACCCCCAAGCACAGUAUUAGGACUGGAUACCAAUGCCCGCUCAUAGCUGGCCUGAAGGCACGCUGACACAUGCUGGGUUUAUGCACUUGUAGGACUGCUGUCAUAGCAGGUGGGCAUGCACGCAAGUCGAAUGACCCAAGGUAAGGGACGGGGCCUGUUCAAUAACAGCGGCUGCGGCUCCUGCCCCUGCUCUGAGGCACCCUGGCAUUACCAGUACUCCAACAUCCAGAAAAUCUGAGAAAUAAGCUAUUGGUCUAUGGCCUAAUCCCAGUU
rnacentral:lncRNA from 1 species